rnacentral:lncRNA from 1 species
UUUUGUGCGAGAGUCUUCUACGAGUAUGGAUUUCAACUCUCAAUGAAAGCACCAAUUUGUGGAUGCAAAUUUCUUCCUCCUCGAUCUUGGACGAUUUUGCACCUACAAAACAAUUAACACCUUAGGUUAAGGCCAAGAGCCUCACGCGCCCACGAUGAAUGGGGGGGGGCUUUGGCCGAAGAACCUCCGAUGCCAAAGUUAGAAUUUAGAGAGAAAGAGUGUUUAGAGAAUUUUGGGAUUUUUGCCAAAGUGUUGGAAUUAGCUUUUUGGUGAGAAUGGGAGUAUAUUUAUAGGGAUAGGUGGUGGCUACGGUUUUUAGGUUUAAUUUAGGUUUAAUUAGCCAAUUUAUUAUGAUAAAUUUGCUAAUUAAACAUAAAGGGAAUAAAUGGAUGGUUAUAGAAUCAAUUAGCUAGCUUAAUUGGGGUAGUAAAGUGGGAAAGAUAGGGAAGGUAGAAAGCUUAAGGGGAUGGCCGGCCAUGUGAUGUUUUAGGGUUGAAUUGGUUGUAUUUUGUGGUUAUUUGGAUAUAAUGGAUGGUUUAAUUGAGAAUUAAUGGGUUAAUUAGGCAAUAAACCCAUUAAUUAGCCAAUUAACAUAAUUUAAAAGGAAUGUGUUUGGGAAUUACCUUGUAGAAAGGAUUUGAUGAGAUGGACUUUGAAUUGUUACCUAUUUUGGGCACUUCUGUCUUGGUUGAAAGAGGGUUGCUCGCAGCUUGCGCGUAGGAACCUCGUUGUACUGCAAGGGUAUUUUUUUUCCUUUUUGUCCAAAAAACCCACGUGUCGCCUUGUGAAUAUUUUUGGCUCCACAUUAUCCAUAGAAGCAACCUUGAGAAUAUCGACGUCACCAUUAUACAUGAUUCUUAAUCAUGUGGUUCAGUCUCUCAUUUGAGUUCGGACCUUGAUGAGACCUUGAUUCCCUGGCUUGAGCUAUCGCCCCAUUAGUGUCAAACACUUUCUAGUUGGAACCGAAUAGAGAGUUUAUAAAUGAACUUUCCCAUCCAAACAACAUUGUUGUAAACUUCUAUAUGGCAAUAUAUUUUGCAUUCAUAAUGGAACACACUAAAGUCAUUACUUUAAUGUUUCCAUUCAAAUAUCUCUUUAGUCAUAAUAAAGAGAUAUUUGAUUAUCUCUUCAUUCAUAAUGAAGAAACAUCCAAUGAUGGAUUAGAUUCAUAAUCUAAUACAUUUAAGCUUCCAUUACGUUACUCUAAUUCUUCCUCGAUCUUUGAGGAAUUUAUCCUUUAGUAUUUCUUAAAUACUUAAGGACUUACUUGACAGUUGCCAUGGUUCUGAUCCUAGGCUUGCACUGAUAUCGUCUUGUACCGUUCUAGGUACAACUCAUAUCAAUGUUUUUCAUACAAUAUGAAAUACAUAAAUCACCUUUAUGCAUAUGCAUAAAGGAUUCUAUUUACGCAUUAUUUCUUUGGGAGUCAAAAGGGCACGUUCCCUUUGAGAAGGGCAACUUGCUAGUCACACUAGAGUCAUCCUUCUAAUUUAAGUUUAUCAUCAUAUGAGAAACUUCCUAGCAUCUUUUGUCUAUUAUUAGGAAUUGAUAUAAUCCAAUUAUAUCCUAAAAAAUCUAUCAUUAUAGAUUUCUAUCCCAUGUAUAUAGACUAUGUCUCCCAUAUACAUUCUAUCGUUAUAGAAUGUUUAAAGUCAUAACUUUAACGAAGAAGUAUUCUUUUCAUUUCCAAAAUUAAUAUAUCAUAUAUAUAUUCAUAUAUAUCAUAUAUAUAUUUAUAUAUAUAUACAAAUUUAGGAAUAUGAUUACUCCCACUAAUCUUUGUAAACCUAGUAAACAAAAGAUUCAUUUAAUCUUUAUAGAAAUCAAACGAUUUGACCUUUCUCUCAUAAGACGCUUAUAGCUCCACUAGCUUGCUAAGAUUCAUGAUGGAUGGAUCUCUAAAACUUACAUGUCUUGUGAUUCAUAGUUUUUAGACAUAUAUUAUCAAGACUAUCUUAAUACUGGUUUCGAAAAACCCAUAUUAUGUCGAAACAUUGAAUCACCAUUUAGUUGUAGCUAGCUAUCUUCGAAUUAAUUGAAACCAAGACUACGUCAAAAAAUGGUUUCUUCAAAGUCAACCAUCCUUUUGAUUGUAGUUACCUUAAGCUACCAAUUAGCUUAUGAAGGUUUCAUUAUUUCGGGUCAAAUGGUACUUUACCAUUUCCUUGAGUAUAUAUCAUAUAUACACUUAAUGUAGUCAUAAGGAUUUUCAUUCUUAUUUCUUUCGAAUUAAGAGGUGAACUCUAUGACAUAGUCAUAAAGUUCAAACCAUUCAACCUUAGACGGUUUUUAAAUCCUCUCGACUACCUUGGAGCUUUUGGUAUAGGAACUAGGUUGUUAUAUUUAUUGAUUACUUUCUUGUCUCUCAAAGAACCCCAUUCUUUGAGUUCUAUCUCUCUUCAUUUGCUCUUAGGCAAAAAAUCACAUUGUAAGAUUACAAUGAACUAUCCCAACAAAACAACAUUUGUUAGUUGGUUUAUAGAAGCGAUAUCCAAAAGUUAAUUUAAGGAUAUCCCACAAGAUUGUUUAUCAAACAAAUAUUGCUUAUUAGCACACAACCCCAAAUCUUAACAUGCUUGAGACUUGUCUUUCUUUCCAACUACAUCUUAUGGAGUCAUGAAAAUAUUGGAAGAUCUCUAAUUUACAAUCAUAUUGUUUUAGAAGUAUAUAUCCUAUAUAUGGGUAAUAGAUAACAUCUAACGACUAAAUCUUAUUCGAGUUCGUUCUUCUCCUCAAGGAGAAAUUUCUUAUUUUGAUGCUAUUUUCCUUGAUAUCUUUCAAGAAAACUAUUCUAAAGUGUUACCUUCCUUGAUCAAAUCUAAGGAUGUAAAUACUUUAGACGUCUUACUCAUCAACUUACAUUUCUUGAAUUCUUUGAAACCUUUUGCAAAGUAUUCGGACUUGUGUUUAUUCAAAAUAAACUAUAGUCCAACCGAGAGUGAUCUUCGUGAACGUCAUCAACAUGAGUAGUAUUAUUUGUGGACAAGUGCACUAACAUCUAGUGAAUUAAACUCAACAACCUUGUGAUUCUUUCUUCUUUCCAAAGAAUAAAGAUUCGAACAUUUCGCCUCUUUACAAUUUUUAACAAGAAGGCAUUGGAUCCGGANUGUGCAAGGGCGCUCGUCAACUCUAUGACUUGUCGAGACAAAUGUUGUUCGCCAUUUGGAUUGGAAGAGCUUGGAAGGAAUGCGCCUCUUUGGGCAGUGGAAGAUGGUAGACUCCGGGCGCGAGAUUUGAGUUGGGAAAUGUCAAAUCUGCGAAAAAAUGUGGUGAGAAUGCCCCCGGCUCGAUGGUAGGUUCAGAUGGUUGAGAUAGUCUUGGGCCGACUUGGGCUGCUUGGAAAGUCACGGGAGCAGUCUGGGCCUUUAGAGUGGGCUGCUCGUCGGGAGCAGGCUGGGUCACAAGAGCAGGCUGCUUGGCAGGAGCAGGUUGGGCCGUGAGAGUGGGCUGCUCGACGGAAGCAGGCUGGACCACGGGAGUGGCUGCUGUCGGGAGCAAGCUGGGCCACGAGAGCAUGCUGCUUGGCAGGAGCAGGCUGGGCCACGGGAGUGGGCUGCUCGACGGAAGCAGGGCUGGACCACGGGAGUGGGCUACUCGUCGGGAGCAGGCUGGGCCACGAGAGCAGGUUGCUUGGCGGGAGCAGGUUGGGCCGCGAGAGCAAAUUGCUUGGCGGGAGCAGGCUGGGCCACGGGAUUGGGCUUGCCCGACGGAAGCAGGCUGGACCACGAGAGUGGGCUGCUCGUCGGGAGCAGGCUGGACCACGGGAGUGGGCUGCUCAUCUGGAGCAGGCUGGGUCACGAGAAAUAGGCUGGGCCACGGGAGUGGGCUGCUCAACGAAAGCAGGCUGCUCAAUGCGCGGUGCAUGUGAAUGCGAGGCUUGGGCUUGGGUCCACGUAAACUUGGAUGGCACGGCUUGGGUCGUGUCUUGGUACCGUGAGCCUUGGAUGGCACGGCUCGGGCCGUGGAGAAAGCUCCAUGGACCUCGCCACGAAUGGCUACCGAAGUAGCCACCGCGGUGGUUCCCAUGGUGGCCGUGGUGAAGGCACCAUGGACCUCGCCGUGGGUGGCUACCGAGGUAGCCACCGCGGUGGUUCCCAUGGUGGAAACUCGUGGUGGUGAUGCCGCUCCCCUUAUUGUCGCAUUUUGCCUCAUGGAUCUCCGCAAUCCCAUUUCUUGUAUAUUAGAAUUUUCAUUUGUGGAAUUUUCUAAAUUUCUAGCCAUUAAUUUUGCUAUAACGUUUUAUUAAAGAACCUUUGCAAGUAAAAAAUUCUAAAUAAUAAGAACGUAUGAAAAAUAUUCAAAUGGACUAAAAAUAAAGCAAAAACCUUUUUGUGCGAGAGUCUUCUACGAGUAUGGAUUUCAACUCUCAAUGAAAGCACCAAUUUGUGGAUGCAAAUUUCUUCCUCCUCGAUCUUGGACGAUUUUUGCACCUACAAAACAAUUAACACCUUAGUUAAGGCCAAGAGCCUCACGCGCCCACGAUGAAUGGGGGGGGGCUUUGGCCGAAGAACCUCCGAUGCCAAAGUUAGAAUUUAGAGAGAAAGAGUGUUUAGAG